AGUUCAUCCCUUUACUAUGGUGGCCAAGACAUAUAUUCGCAUUCCUCGAGUAGCCAAACUUCUACAUCAUAUCCUAUUUUUAAGAAAGAUGGAGGAGAAGAUGACCCAAAUGGAAACAAUUCACAGGAUGCUUCUAGAGGUAAUUGGUGGCAAGGUUCGCUUUAUUAUUAGAGCCUAGCCUUCCAAUGCAUAUGAAUUCUCCAUCAGUUUUCCAAGGAAUUCAUAAAGCAAGCAAAUAAUCAUGGAAGACAUGAAUUAUAAACAAAUUUGUGACAUGGACAAAGCCUACUUUGGAUUCUGUAAUAUGAUAUAUUUUUCAUGAUUUUAUCAGGAAAUGAAGGUUGAGAAGUCCUCCACUACAUCAUAUACUCUGCUCUUGGACAAGUUUUCUUUGGCUGAGGAGAGUGGAAUAUGUUUAGAUGUUCUCACUCCCCCCUGAUGUGUGAAAGGGCUGACAAAUGAUAGAUAAUUUAGGCUUUCCUUUUUAAAUGUCAUUAUCGAUGCUUGAGAUUCUGUAUCGAAAAUGCCAUGUCUUUGCUAUGUAUGAAAGUUGCACAACAAAAGUUAAAAUACAAGCAAUAUCCUUUUCCACUAUCAUACAUAAGGAUUCCCCUUUCAAGGAUUAAAAAAAAUUAAAAGCAAGAUAAGUGCAGUGUAAAUAGAAUAUCAACAGAACUUCCAGUGGCAGUGAGCAA